CGUAAGGCGCCGAAUGAGUCAUUAAAAAUUAACAUCAUCCGAUCCCUAGUCGGCAUAGUUUAUGGUUAAGACUACGACGGUAUCUGAUCGUCUUCGAUCCCCUAACUUUCGUUCUUGAUUAAUGAAAACAUCCUUGGCAAAUGCUUUCGCAGUAGUUAGUCUUCAAUAAAUCCAAGAAUUUCACCUCUGACAAUUGAAUACUAAUGCCCCCAACUAUCCCUAUUAAUCAUUACGUCGAUCCCUAGAAACCAACUAAAAUAGAAUCAAACGUCCUAUUUCAUUAUUCCAUGCCAAUGUAUUCAAGCGCGAGCCUGCUUUAAACACUCUAAUUUUUUCAAAGUAACAGUCCUGAUUCCCCAAGACACCAAAUUAAUGACAUCAUGGUUCUUCAGAAGGGGGAAACCAACAAUGCCAGUACGUACCGAGGCACGACCGACAUGAUGGUCCCGAAAUUCAACUACGAGCUUUUAACUGCAGCAACUUUAAUAUACGCUAUUGGAGCUGGAAUUACCGCGGCUG
rnacentral:rRNA from 1 species